rnacentral:tRNA from 1 species
GCGCCCGUAGCUCAACUGGAUAGAGCGUCUGGCUACGGACCAGAAGGUUAUGGAUUCGAUCUCUGUCGGGCGCGCCA